GACGAACGCUGGCGGCGUGCCUAAUACAUGCAAGUAGAACGCUGAAGAGAGGAGCUUGCUCUUCUUGGAUGAGUUGCGAACGGGUGAGUAACGCGUAGGUAACCUGCCUUGUAGCGGGGGAUAACUAUUGGAAACGAUAGCUAAUACCGCAUAACAAUGGAUGACACAUGUCAUUUAUUUGAAAGGGGCAAUUGCUCCACUACAAGAUGGACCUGCGUUGUAUUAGCUAGUAGGUGAGGUAACGGCUCACCUAGGCGACGAUACAUAGCCGACCUGAGAGGGUGAUCGGCCACACUGGGACUGAGACACGGCCCAGACUCCUACGGGAGGCAGCAGUAGGGAAUCUUCGGCAAUGGACGGAAGUCUGACCGAGCAACGCCGCGUGAGUGAAGAAGGUUUUCGGAUCGUAAAGCUCUGUUGUAAGUCAAGAACGAGUGUGAGAGUGGAAAGUUCACACUG
rnacentral:rRNA from 1 species